rnacentral:rRNA from 1 species
GUGCUGGGCGCUGCUAUACAUGCAAGUCGAGCGAAUGGAUUAAGAGCUUGCUCUUAUGAAGUUAGCGGCGGACGGGUGAGUAACACGUGGGUAACCUGCCCAUAAGACUGGGAUAACUCCGGGAAACCGGGGCUAAUACCGGAUAAUAUUUUGAACUGCAUGGUUCGAAAUUGAAAGGCGGGCUUCGGCUGUCACUUAUGGAUGGACCCGCGUCGCAUUAGCUAGUUGGUGAGGUAACGGCUCACCAAGGCAACGAUGCGUAGCCGACCUGAGAGGGUGAUCGGCCACACUGGGACUGAGACACGGCCCAGACUCCUACGGGAGGCAGCAGUAGGGAAUCUUCCGCAAUGGACGAAAGUCUGACGGAGCAACGCCGCGUGAGUGAUGAAGGCUUUCGGGUCGUAAAACUCUGUUGUUAGGGAAGAACAAGUGCUAGUUGAAUAAGCUGGCACCUUGACGGUACCUAACCAGAAAGCCACGGCUAACUACAUGCCAAAAACAACAGAUA